AGCAAAAUGAUGAGAUUUUUUGAUGGCUGAAUUGGAUGUUGAAUUCCCAUAUCAUUAAAUGGUCUUCAAAGUUCUCUGAUUGCU
rnacentral:snoRNA from 1 species